UCGCUUUGGCAGCGCAGACACUAAAGCUGACACAAUACAGAGAUUAGCAUGACCCCUGGGCAAGGAUGACCUGCAAAUUUGUGAAGUGUUGCAUAGUAAA
rnacentral:snRNA from 1 species